AAUCUUUUCACAUUGGCUUUUCUUUCGUUUUUAAUGUCUACCUCUUACAAAUGACACACUGCUACAUCAAGUGUUGCUAGUCCAUAAAAUUAACUGCCCUUCUAGAACAGAAACACAUUAACAGUGCCAAGCUGUGCUGUGUCCUAGCAGCAUAUAGUGCUGGAUCUCCCGAGUGGUGGCACCAUCCACGGCAGGAGAGAGAUGGAGGAAACCCAGAAUAACCCACACAGGAAGAACAUACACAUUCCGUGCAGAUGGUGUCUUCAUUCGAAUUGGACCACAGGACCGCAGUGAUAUAAGGCAG